rnacentral:lncRNA from 1 species
AGUGUUUUCAUCCAAGAUCAUCACCCUAUUAAUUAGAAACACAUAUAAGAUGGACCUUAUGGCUUGGAUUUGUUGUACCAUUGACUUUAUGGAAUGGACUUUUUAUCAGCCAAAAUUGGCCUGUAAAAAUGUUACAUGCCAUAUAAUUUAUCUGUGUAUUCGUAUGUUCAUUUUUAGAUUGCUAUAUAGUGAUUUUAACAAAUGCUUUUGAUGACAAAAUUAGAAACCCUUUUUGCUAUGGAGGAUUGAGCAAAUGGAAGACAAC